AUUGAACGCUAGCGGCAUGCUUUACACAUGCAAGUCGAACGAGUGGCGGACGGGUGAGUAAUAUAUCGGAACCUGCCUGAUAGAGGGGGAUAACUACUCGAAAUGGUAGCUAAUACCGCAUACCAUCGGAUCUGCCGAUAUGGGAUUAGCUAGUUGGUGGGGUAAUGGCUCACCAAGGCGACGAUCCGUAGCUGGUUUGAGAGGAUGACCAUCCACACUGGGACCGAGACACGGCCCAGACUCCUACGGGAGGCAGCAGUGGGGAAUUUUGGACAAUGGGCGCAAGCCUGAUGCAGCCAUCCCGCGUGUGUGAGAAGGCCUUCGGGUUGUAAAGCACUUUUAGCGGGGAGGCGGUAUCUGCAGAAUAAGCACCGGCUAAAUACGUGCCAGCAGCCGCGGUAAUAC
rnacentral:rRNA from 1 species